UACGUAGGGCGCGAGCGUUAUCCGGAAUUAUUGGGCGUAAAGAGCUCGUAGGCGGUUUGUCACGUCUGCUGUGAAAACUGGAGGCUCAACCUCCAGCCUGCAGUGGGUACGGGCAGACUAGAGUGCGGUAGGGGAGACUGGAAUUCCUGGUGUAGCGGUGAAAUGCGCAGAUAUCAGGAGGAACACCGGUGGCGAAGGCGGUUCUCUGGGCAUGACCUGACGCUGAGGAGCGAAAGUGUGGGGAGCGAACAGG
rnacentral:rRNA from 1 species